rnacentral:rRNA from 1 species
AGCGAACGCUGGCGGCAGGCCUAACACAUGCAAGUCGAACGGAUCCUUCGGGAUUAGUGGCGGACGGGUGAGUAAAACGUGGGGACGUGCCCUUUGGUUCGGAACAACUCAGGGAAACUUGAGCUAAUACCGGAUGUGCCCUUCGGGGGGAAGAUUUAUCGCCAUUGGAGCGGCCCGCGUCUGAUUAGCUAGUUGGUGAGGUAACGGCCCACCAAGGCGACGAUCAGUAGCUGGUCUGAGAGGAUGAUCAGCCACACUGGGACUGAGACACGGCCCAGACUCCUACGGGAGGCAGCAGUGGGGAAUCUUGCGCAAUGGGCGAAAGCCUGACGCAGCCAUGCCGCGUGAAUGAUGAAGGUCUUAGGAUUGUAAAAUUCUUUCAGCGGGGACGAUAAUGACGGUACCCGCAGAAGAAGCUCCGGCUAACUUCGU